UGAAAAGGUAAACAAAAUUGAUAGACCAUGGUUGAGAUUAAACAAGAAAAGAAGAGAGAAGAUCCAAAUAAGCCCAAUUAGAAAUGGAAUGGAAGAUAUUACAACUGAUACCACAGAAAUACAAAAGACCAUCCAAGGCUGCUAUGAACACCUUUAUGUGCACAAACUAGAAAACCUAGAGGAAUGUGGACAAUCCUGAAAAUAUGUAGCCCUCCUAGAUUAUGCGAGGAGGAAAUAGAAACUCUGAACAGACUAAUAAUGAGUAGUGAGAUUGAAACAGUAAUAAAAAUAAUUUCCAACAAAAAAUGUCCAGGACUAGAUGGAUUUACAGCUGAAUUCUCUCAGACAUUCAAAGAAGAAUUGGUACCAAUCCUACUGAAACUAUUCCAAAAGAUAUAAAAAGAGAGAAUCUUCCCUAAGUCAUUCUACGAAACCAGUAUUACUGUAAUGCCAAAAUCAGGAAAGAGCAUAACAGAAAAAGAAAACUACAGAUCAAUAUCCCUGAUGAACAUAGAUGCAAAAAUUCUCAACAAAAUACUAGCUAACUGAAUCCAACAGCAUAUCAAAAAGAUAAUAAACCAUGAACAAGUGGGUUUUAUACCAGGGAUGCAGGGAUGGUUUAACAUACACAAGUCAAUAAAUAUGAUACCCCACAUAAAUAGAAUUAAAAACAAAAAUUGCAUGAUCAUCUCAAUAGAUGAAGAAAAAGCAUUUGACAAAAUCCAGCAUCUUUAUGAUUAAAAUCCUCAGCAAAAUCAGCAUAGACACUUUGGGAGGCCGAGGCAGGAGAAUGGUGGGAACCCGGGAGGCGGAGUUUGCAGUGAGCCAAGAUCAUGCCACUGCUCUCUAGCCUGGGCAACAGAGCAAGACUCCAUC
rnacentral:lncRNA from 10 species